rnacentral:lncRNA from 1 species
AUAAAUCCGACUAUGAAAAAUGUAGCCUUCAUAUUGAAUUAUUUGGAACUAAAACAUAAGCGGAAGCAUACCUGAAUCCAUAGGUGGAAGCUCCUUGAUCCAGCUUGGAGUUCGUCCGGGGUUUGGCUUUUCCACUUGAUAUGCAAGACAAGGUUUUUCUCUCUAGCAAGAAUGGGAAAUGGAAGAGAAGUGACUUGCAUUCUUGAGGGAACCAUAACCCCCUUAAUUAUAACAUGUAACCUACAUGUAACUCAAGAGUCACAUAACCUAACCAUACAACAUGAAAG